rnacentral:rRNA from 1 species
UACGGGGGAGCAAGCGUUGUUCGGAUUUACUGGGCGUAAAGGGCGCGUAGGCGGCCUCCGCAAGUCAGUUGUGAAAUCUCCGAGCUUAACUCGGAAAGGUCAACUGAUACUGCGGGGCUAGAGUGCGGAAGGGGCAACUGGAAUUCUUGGUGUAAGGUCGGUGAAAUGCGUAGAUAUCAAGAGGAACACCUGCGGCGAAGGCGGGUUGCUGGGCCGACACUGACGCUGAGGCGCGAAAGCUAGGGGAGCGAACGGG